CGCGCAGCGGUGGACAUGUGGUUUAUUCGAUGCACGCGAAGAACCUUACCUACUCUUGACAUCCAGAGAACUUUCCAGAGAUGGAUUGGUGCCUUCGGGAACUCUGAGACAGGUGCUGCAUGGCUGUCGUCAGCUCGUGUUGUGAAAUGUUGGGUUAAGUCCCGCAACGAGCGCAACCCUUAUCCUUUGUUGCCAGCGGUUAGGCCGGGAACUCAAAGGAGACUGCCAGUGAUAAACUGGAGGAAGGUGGGGAUGACGUCAAGUCAUCAUGGCCCUUACGAGUAGGGCUACACACGUGCUACAAUGGCGCAUACAAAGAGAAGCGACCUCGCGAGAGCAAGCGGACCUCAUAAAGUGCGUCGUAGUCCGGAUUGGAGUCUGCAACUCGACUCCAUGAAGUCGGAAUCGCUAGUAAUCGUAGAUCAGAAUGCUACGGUGAAUACGUUCCCGGGCCUGGGGAUCCCGAA
rnacentral:rRNA from 1 species